UGAUUGAUUCUGUUUCAUUAUUGUAAAAUCUUUGACCCCUCCUCAUGCUUCUAUAUCCCACUACCUCCUGAUUAUCAUCAAAAUAUUCAUAAGCAUCCCAAACUUGGUAUGUCUACACUGAAUUUAUUUUGUUUUCUGACCUCUGAUUUCAUUAUUUUGUUGAUAGUACCACUAACAUCAAGCACCCAAGUCACAAAUCUCGUAUUCAUCUUAGACUCCUCUCUCAUAAUCCUGUCUUAAAUUGCCCAUUGAGUUCUAAUCCCUGUAAACUCUCCUAAAUUCAUCUGUAAUCCAUUGCCAGACUCUUGUAUCUAUACAAUUCCCUUGCUACUUUCUAUUUCCAGCCUAUUUCUUCCCCUUUCUUUACACUGAAUACUCAGUACUAUUUUAUCUUCUUACAUAUCUUUCCAUCUCGUGCUCUUUUCUCUAUAAAAGCUGACAGCAAGAUGGGGAGAUUUCUUUUCAUUUCAGUGACAAUUGCUUUCUGACGCUGCCUUCAUCUCAUCUUAUGUUUGAGCUUGCCAGUAUGGUCCCCAGUUUGUACUUAUUGAGUCCAGUAUAUGCCCAGCAUUGUUUAAUGGUUUUGAAAUGGCCUCUCACAACCACUCUUAAGGUAGAUUUUGUUUUUUAUUUGUUUUUUGGGGGAUGGAUAUUUUGUUCUUUCAAAAGAGAAAGCAGAGUCUGGAAAUGAAGCCACUUUCUCAAAUUCACGAGACUCAGCAAGGUCCAAGUCCAUUUCCAUUACUCUCAAGUAAGGUUUCUCAGCACUGGCACCGCUGACAUUUGGGCAGGAUAGUGCUAUGUUUCUGCAGCUUUCAUUUGUAUGGCCAGAUGUUUAGCAGAGUCACUAACUUCCAGAUGCUAGCAGCUCCUGUCUUCUGCCCCUGGAUUAUAACAUUCUUUUAAAUAAUAAAUGUACUUCCUGUUUUCAGAUUGCAUGCUGAUGAAAAGAUAAUGUCUUUCCUCAUCCUGAAGAGGCUUCCUAAUGUUUAUUCAGUUUUAACUAAAGUGGUUUAGCUAGAGGCCCACGCACAAUGUUGAACUCCUUAGAAUUAAGACCAAGCUCACUGGUGAUGAUAAUGGAAACUAUAUCUUGGGCUCAUGAGUCUUUCAUGAGUUAAUAUAUAGAAAAUGUUCAAAACAGGCAUGACGUGAUAGACAUGUAAUAUGCAUUAUUAUUAUUUUCCUUUGCCAUUGCAAAGUUGAAGUCUUGCCAUUUCAUUAACCUAACUAAUACACACUAAUUUAAUUGCAUAUAAUUAAUUUACAUUAAAAGUAAGGGAUUCAGUUUUGUAGUUCGGUGAUACAGCACUUGCCAAGCAUGAAUGAAGGCUGUUGAUUCAGUUUCCAGCACUGCAAACAAAAAACAAAACAACCAAAAAUAGUGCAGUAUAUUUAAUUUAAGUGAAACACACAUUUUCUCUAGUUCUGUUACAGUGAAGAUGAAUAAUAGGAAUCUCCAUCUAACAGACCUUUAAGCAUUUGAAAAUGUAUCUUUAUCUCUUAGUAAUAAUUCUGACUCUUUUAUUUUUAAACUAAACUAAUCUGCAGGUCAUGCCUAGUUUGUACAAGACAGUUUCCACUUACCAAUUUUUUCUUUGUUUUUGGUGAUACUCUGCAAGCACUCAGUCAAUGAGAUACACCCCAGAUCCACCACUUAGCAAUUCUCAUGUAUCAAUUCCCUCAUAACUUUCUAUUAAAAAGUAACAGGGUCAGGGAUUUAGCUCAGUGGCAUAAGCACCUGUAUGGCAAGCAUGAGUCACGAAUUCAAUCCCCAGUACCAAAAACAAAAAAAUUUACUUCAUAGGAGUUUUGUGUGUAAAUUCAAAUAAUAAAACAUUUUUAGAAAGUAAAAUAUUCAAUAUUCCCAAUAUCAGAAAUAAUUUUUUUAAUUUUAAAGAUAAUAAAAUCCAAUAAAAUAAGACAGAACAAGGCCAAUCAAAACAAUGGACAAAAUUGAUACAGAACUUCAAAGCAGGAUUCCAGGAAAACAACAGCUACCACAGUAUAUCUUGUUACCUUCAUAGUAGUUGUCCAUUCUGUCAGGUAUAGCAAAAUCAAACCAGAAACAAAACACAGUAAGAACAAUCAAAAAAUGUUGAGUAAAGCAAGACAUUUAAUCAGAACAAAGCAAAACAGUGAAAACAUUUGACUUCAGAGAUAAAACAAGGAAAUCCCUCAUAUUUGCUAUAUUGCAUACUGUCAUCUUCCCGAGGUGUACCUUAGUUGCUACCAACUCAGCCUGUUCUUUAAACCAUCUGGUUGCUUGGGGGCGGGGGACUAGAGGUGGGGAACACACAGAGGGGGUUUGAUUCUCAGCCCAUAUACCGGUAGGCUCAUGGGACACACUAUCAGAUUUGUCUCUCCCUGGAACUCGCAAGGCUUGCGCGGCUUACCAGGAAGGCUGGCUGGUUGAUUUCUUGGUUAGUCCCCUAAGUAAGCAGCAUGGCUGAUUCUUGGGAGACAUUGACUUUUCUCUCCCUGGAACCCACGUGGCUCGUGUGGCUUACGAGCCAGGAAUAAUUUUUUUAAAUUGUAAAUUUCUCCCAAAUAUUUGGUCUAAAAAUGAUAUCGGAAAAACUACUCAGACACCUGGCUUUCCACAUGCAAAAGAAUAAACUGUUGGCUUACACUAUUUACAAAAUCGUUUGAAAAUGAAAUUACAAAUGAAUUGUUUGAAAUGAAUUUACAACCUAAAUAUAAAAACUAAACCCAUAAAGCUCUUAGAAGAAAAGAUAGGGACAAAUCUUAAUUACCUUCAGUUCAGUAAUGGAAUCUUAGAAUACCAAAAGUAUGGGCAACAAAAGACAAAAAUCAGAUUUCAUCAAAAUUAAAAACUUUUGUGUAACAAAGAUCAUUAUCAACACAGUGAAAGGUAACCUGUAGAACCAGAGAAAAUGUUUGCAAAUUGUAUAUCCGAUAGCGAUUUAAUAUCCUGACUAUUGAACUGUAAUGAACUGGUAAUAACUACCAAAUUUAAAAGUAAACAAAGGACUUGAGUGGACAGUUCUCCAAGGAAGAUCUGUAAAAUGGGCAAAUAAAUGAAAAGGUACAUAUAAUUGUCAUUUGAAAAAUACAAAUCAAAACUACAAGAAGAUACUGCUUCACAUUUACUAGGUUGACUAUAAUCUUAAAAAUGUAAAGUAAGUUGAUGAAGAUAGUAGAAACUAGAACCCUUGGGACUGCUGAUAAAAAAUGUGGUAUAGCAUCUGUGGGAAAGUGUUUAGAAAUUCCUUAAAAAGCUAAACAUAAAGUGGCCAUAUCACCCAGCUAUUGUACUCUUAAUUAUGUAACAAAAAGAACUGAAAACAAGGACUCAAACCUGCAUCCCAGCAUUCAAUAGCCAAAAUGUAGAAACAGCCCAAAUAUGCAUUACAGAAAAUAGGUAAGCAAAAUGCGGCCCAUGCAUAUCAUUGAAUAUUAUUUUUCCAUAAAAAGGCAUAAAAUUAUGUUACAUGCUACAACAUGGAUAAGCCUUGAAGAUAUUAUGCAAAGUGAAGGAAACUAAAUCUAAAAGGACAAAUAUAUGAUUCCAGGUAUAUCAAAUAUCCACCAUAGACAAAUUCAUAGACAUAAAAAGUAGAUUAGAGGUUGUCAAGGGCUGGAAGAAUGGGAGGAGGGAUGAGUUAUUAUUUUUUAUUUUUAUUAUUUAUUUAUUUGUACCAAGGAUUGAACUCACAACCUCAUAUUUGCCAGGAAGGUUAUUGUGUUGCUGAGCUAAAUCCCCAGCUUUUUAAAAAUUAAAGACAAAAAAAAAUUUCACAGUAAGAUAAUAGGAAGGUAACAAUGGUUAAUACAUUGCACAUAGUUAUCUUUAAAUUAGUUACUCAGAGUAAAAGACAUUGGCAUUUAACUGUCCAAACAAUAUUAGCACAAACCUUUGUUUUCAAUGAACUAAGAGAAAUUAGUAGUAUUUCCGUUUUAACUGUCAUAUAUACUGUUUUGUGGUUUUGUUUUUUGGUUUUGGUUUUGGUUUUUUUUUUUGCUUUUCCUUUCUAUUCUCUAGUCCCUCAUCCCAGCUUUUCUUUCUUUUUGAAAUUUCUUCCCAUUUUACAAUAUCUUUUGCACAGUUUGGAUCUUAUUUACUCUUUCAGCUUCUCACACUAGAGAGACUAUGAUAUUUGCAUGUGCGUGUCUGGUUUAUUUCACUUCUCAGUGUGGUCUCAAGUUACAUCCAUUUACCUAUCGUUAACUAGUACUUCAUUAUAUAAAGGAUCACAUCUGUUUUAUCCAAUUCCUCAACAGAUGGGCAUUUGGGUUGUUUCCAAGAUCUAGCUAUUACAAAUUAUGCUGCUAUAAACGUAGGUUCACAUAUAUUGUUAUGGGUACAAUGCUUUUAAUUCUUCUGGAAAGAUACCCAGAAGAGGAAUAGCUGGGUAAAAUGGAAAUUUGGGAGGACUACUUUAUUUAUUUAUUUAUUCAUUCAUUUAUUUAUUUUUAGUUCUUUUUAUGUUCUCAGUAGUAAUCCUUUAAGGAACAGCUGGCAAAUAUUUUUUCCCACAUUUGAGGUUGUCUUUUCACUUUGUUGAUGAUUUCUCUUAUUGUGCAAAAGCUUUUUAAUAAGAUGAGUCCCAGCUAUUGAUUCUUUGUGACAGUUUCUGUGCAAUUGGGGUUUUGUUCACAAAGUCUUUGCCUACACUAUGUCGUGCAGAGUUUUGCAUACUCUAUCUUCUAGUAGAUUUAUUGUUUGUUUUAAUAUUUAGAUCUUUGAUUCAUUCCAAUUUAGUUUAGUGCAUGGUGAAAGCUAUGGGCCCAAGUUUAAUCUUCAGCAUGUGCAGGGUCAGUUUCUCCAGCAGUAUAUCUUUCUUCAUGUGAUUGUGUUUAGCUCCUUUGUCAAAGAUAAGGUGGCUUAGUAUGUCUGGAGUUGUUCCUGAAUCUUCUAAUCUGUUUCACUGAUCUUCAAGACUUUUUUUCUUUUUUGCCAGUACCAUACUAUUUUUUGGUUUGGUUUGGUUUUAUCACAAUAGCUUUAUAGUAUAAUUUCAGGCCAGGAAUUGUGGUGCCCUUAUCUUGCCUUUGUUGCCUGGAAUUGUCUUUGUUAUUCUAGGUCUCUUCUGAUUUCAACUGAAUUUUAGAAUUCUUUUCUCCAAUUCUGUGAGGUGUGCUAUUAGAAUUUUGAUCACAAUUGCAUUAAAUCUGUAUAUCAGUUUUGGGAGUAUGACCAUUUCCACUAUAUUGGUUCUUCCUACCCAAGAGCAAGGGAUAUCUUUCCGUUUUCUGAUGUCUUCUUCAAUCUCCUUUUUCAGAAUACUGUAGUUUUCAAUGUAGAGGUCUUUUACAUCCUUUGUUAAAUUGAUUCCUAGGUAUUUUGUUUUGUUUUGCUUUGUUUUCUUUGGAUCCUAUUGUGAAAGGUAUUGUUCCCUAAUUUCUCUGUCAGUGAAUUGAAAGAAAGGAGUUAUUACUUAAUAUUUAUGGGGUUUCUGUUGGGGCAGCGAAAGUUUUGAAAAUGGUUGUUCGGCACUGUGAGAGCAAUUAAAGUCAGAAUAAUACUUGUAAUAAUUAUUAAAAUGGAAAAUUUUACAUGUUUUACAAUUUUAAAAAUGAGUGGAAAGAAGCUUACUUGAUAUAUAGAAACAGUAGAAGCCCAUAGGGCCUAAACAUUUAAAGAGAACCAUGUAAAGAAUAGGAAUAGGGACCAAAGAAAGAGGAAGACAUUAAUAAUGCUUACCAAUAAAUUAUAUUUUUAAUAGUUAUUUUAUUUUUAUGAUUUUUCUGCAUUAUUCAUUUCUGACAAUAGAAAUAUUCAAUCUGGAAAAAAUAAACCUAAUUAAAAAAUACUAGAGAGUCUGAGAGCUAUGACUUUCAUACAUAUCUUUUUUUUUUUUUUUUUUUUUUUUGUCUUUUUCCUUUUUAUCGGUACCAGGGAUCGAACUCACGACUGCCUGAACUCAGGACUGCCUGCUUGCAAGGCAGGCGCUUAUGCCGCUGAGCUAAAUCUCCAGCCAUUUUUCAUGCAUAUCUUUUUGUGUAAUGUUUUAAGGCUUUUUAAAGUCUUCCUUUCCUCCACAGACACACGAUGAUUUCCCACUUUUCGACCAAGCUGCUUCUGCGUGCAGCACGAGCUGGUCCUGAUUUCUCAUCUCUGAGUUCCAGCUUCCUCUUUGUCAUCUCCAUUAUGAUGUCUCUCAAAAAAUUUAAAAUACCCACACGUGAGCUCUCUGGUACCUGCUCCACCUUCUGCUGCCCGCCUUCCAAAGCGCUGUUCUUAAAUCUCAUAAAUCUCACCACAGUCCAUCCAACUAAGGAAACCAGAAGCUUAGAAAUUUUGUUCCCUCUUUUAUUUUUUCUCCAAACCAUCAUAUACUCUAUUCAAAGCUUAAGUUUUCCGUUUAGAAAUACGUCCCCAGACUCUGCACUUUUUGCAUCUGCACCCCCACCACCCUCAUUCAAGCUACUGUCGUCUCCUGCCUGGAGCAACUUAACAGCUUCCCAUCGGUUUCCACGCUUCUUAUUCUUGGCCCUCUUGCAAUCCAGGAUAACACCAGGAUAACUGUUAAAAAUGAAGAUUAGCCUCGUUUCUCAGUUUACAGCUCUGAUGCUACUUCCCAUUGCAUUUAUGGUGGAAAAGAGUCAAAUUCAGGGGUGCAGCAGGGACCAAGUUGGCAGAGCAGUGAUCAUCAACAAAAUUCAGCCUCCGUGGAGAUCCAGAAUCCAGACACAUGAAAAAUAACAAACCAAAGAAGAAAAAAGACGAGAUAUCCUGAAUUUGGGAAAGUACUGACAAGAAAAUUAAAAUCUGCAGAGAAGUUGGAGAAACAGACCACAAUGCAGAGAAAAAAACAAAGCAGUCUGGAAAUCAACCGUAGCUCCCAGGAAGGGGAACCUUCCUCCACAGACACACGGUAAACCCCUAGGAGCCUGCCACUGUCAUAAACUGAAAGAGCAGUGUGUGGUUUUGCUCAAGGUGAUUCGUUCCACAUGAUAGGCACCAGUCAGAGAGGGAAUCCAGUGCAGUGCCCAUCGUAUUGCCAGAGAGUGCAGCAUCAGGUGCCAUUUCAAGAAAGGGUGAUUAUUUAAGUCUGAGACUCAAAACAACUAAAAAACAACUUCAUUUCAGGUAAGAGCCACAAGAGACAGGGAGAGCGUGCAGCUGUACAGAAAGUCCCUGAGAAAUUUAAACUGAGGCCAGAAGGACAUGGGUCCCGCCCUCUGGUGAGAAGCCAGGCCCAGCUCACGCUACCCUCAGAAGCAGCUGACCGAGCUUAAAGUAAGUGGAGGGGACCACUUGAAACCUUCCCCUGCACCAAGAUUGAAGUCUGAUUAUCUUCCCUGUCUACCAAUGUGAGCAAGGACACACUCCAGCUUGGAUGGAUGCCAUAUCCUGGGGACCCUCGGCAACAGAAAGGAACCUCACAAACCUGUAAAGAUUUCAAUUUCAAGACCUGCCCCUUUGGUGUGAGAAUGUGGCCCUGACAGGUGGUCAGCAAGAGUGCAGUAUGGAGCAGACCGAUGCAGUAUAACUGCCAGACCUUUCCAAUGAGCGGUGGAUGCUCAAGCAACUAUACAAGAACAGGGGCUGCAGGAAGACCCAUCUGUUAACGAGGACCACAGAAUUUUGCUAAAUGCCAAAUGAGAGGAGCACGACCACAGUUCUAAGCACUGGCACCAUAACCGGCUUCAAUGACGCAAGUAUACGCACCACUGUGUGUCAAGGACCAGAGAGAGACAUUAGUGGACAUCAGGGACUCCUGUGUGUUGUGAUCUUGACUCUUAUUUCUGUCCCUACCAAGAGAGAUUGAUGUUCUUGUCUUUUCUGCUCUAGAAGCAGUUAAAAUGCUGUUUUGUUUCACAAACUUAGGUAGGUCUAGAAGACAGUGACUAGGAUGAGAAGAAUGUCUCUAACUAUACAAAAAAGGUUGAAGUAACUGAAGAUGUUGAACCUGGAGAAGCAAAGGAACAAGGAGAUAGUUCUCAGAAUUUUACAUCAUUUCUAUUUCAAAUUUUGGUGGUGGUGAAGUGUAUGUGCGUGCUUGCAUGUGUGUGUGUGUAUGUCUUUUUUCAAUGGAGAUCUCUUUAGGCUUUGAAUUCAGACCACAGCCCAAAUCCUGGGUGUGUUUCUUACUUAACUUUGUGGACUUUUUCAAGAUAGCUGACUUCUUCAUUUCCAUAUCCUCAAAACAGGAAAGGCAUUUCCUACUUCAAGAGCUCUUAUAAUCAAAUGAAGCAAUAGCUGCUCAGUCAAUGGUAACUAACAUUAUCUUUGAAGGCCGCCCUGACCUUGGGGUGUGAAAUUGCUAAGGCAAAAAUAUGUUUUUUAAAUGGUACAAAAAUGAGAAUAAUAUGCAUAGAUUUUGCGGUGGGGGAACAAAGCAAAAGUACCUAUUGUUCUGGGCGGCAAAACAUUUAUGGGGAGAACUUGCCUCCAGUUCUCAGAAUAACUCCUUUUCUACAAUUUGAAACAUAAGACACCUACAUGAAGGAGACACUACUGUAAAUGUAAUGUGGAAAUUUCCACUUAUCCCAGAAGCUUAGAGGUUUGAAGCAGCUAGAGUAACCCCAGAAUGCAAUAAGUGUCCUUUAUGAUGAGUGACCAUGGUGAUGUAUAAUUUGAUGAAGGACAAGUGCUUCUGGAGUUUCCUGCUCUGUACCGAACAGGAGCUUUGUGUCUCAAGUUACUGCCUUUCUGCCUUCUAAAUAAUAUAGGAGAAAAUUGAGGAAGAACACCGCGUGAGUGCAGAACAUGCAAGGAUGUAAGAAUGGUCUACUUGAUAUCAUUUAUAUAAUUUAAAUGAGUUUUUAACCCUCUUCAAAGGAAAAUGUAACUCUUCUCUUCCUGUUUUUAAUAAUACUUGAGUGCUUCCUGCUGAUGAGGUGUAGUGAGGGCCUUGCCCCACACCAGAGCCAGCUGUCAGCAAAGCCACAGCUCCAGGCAAUAAAGUCUCCUCACAGUCACUGAAAAGAAUAUUUUCCCUAUUUGCACUUAUAGGAUCAAAUAUUUUCCAGACAAUUUACAUGUCCAAGAAAUGUUUUGAGAUCUUACUUUUCCAAGAAAGAAUUCAUAUAUUACUCAACAUUAAUUUAGCUAACUGCUUCAGACUUCUCAGGGUUUGACAGGGCUCUAAGCUGAUGGAUUAUGUGCAUACAGCUCUGAUUAGUUUUUCUAUUGUUCAUCAACUAUGAAAGGCCAUAUUUCACUUGUCAGAAUCUUGUGGCUCUUCACUUAAGAAAACAAGCAUGCAGUAUCACAAAAUACUUAAAGCCUACUAAAAUGUUCACUGUAUACACAGUAUGACAAUUGUUACACUUGUACAAUGGAUAGGUCUACAUUUUAUCUUGCUUUUUCUGGAUUGGGAUUUUAUAAAAAAAUUUUUAAAUGGCUUCUUUUUGAGACAGGAUCUCACUUUGUAAUUCAGGCUGACCUUGAAUUCAUUAUGUAGCCCUGGUACUUCUCCUGCCUCAGCCUCCCAAGUGCUGGGAUUUUGCCAAAUAAACAUUUACUUAAUCUCUUUCUCAUGCCAAACAAAAUAUUAUUUUCAUAGUUAAAUUCAAGAUGAAGACAUAAAUACAGGUAAAAAAAAUCCUAAAAGUCUAUAUAAAUCUCUAUACCUUAAAUGUAAACUACAGCUAAUAAUGAAAUAUAAAUAAGUAUAUAAAUGAGGACCUUCCAAUCCAGUGUUUGAAAUAUACUCACCACAACUAUAACUUCAUCAUAUUCUCAGAAACUGCUAACUUUGAUUAUCAGGCAAUAAUAUGAAGGUGUUGAGUAACAGCAUCUGGCAUGUAAUAAGUAUUUAAUGAAUGAAGGUGGAGGGUUAGGGAUGAGCUCAGUGGUAGAGCACUUGGUUAAAGCUGAAGGCCAAUGUAGUAAAUAACAUUUGAUGAAGCAAUUUCCGAUUUCAAUUUGAAAUGGGAUUUCAGAAUUUUUAAAGUAGUGAUGUUGUUUCUUCAGGUCAUUUUUCACUCCAGUGGGAGAGAUGAGUGAAAUCAUUAAUCCACAUUCAUAGAAGAUGAAAUAAGUAGGUCAAGUGUUUCCUCUAGCAUUUGAAUAAACUUAAAACCUAAAUUUAAAAAUAUCUUCAACAUCUUUUGGUUUUGUGUGUGUGCAUGUAUGUGUGUGUGUGUCUGAUAAGAGGCACACAGAUCAAAUCCUCUUCAGGGCUGAAGGUCGAUCUUCUAAGUUUUGAUGCCCGAGUAUGUUUACAUUUUUUUCCUCAUGGAGUAAUAAACUAUGUUCACAACCUGUGUAAGUUUGUACAUUACAUGGAAUUAAGAUCACGGCAUCCAGAGACAGUGCUGUUUAGCCACAUGUAGAAUCAUGGAGACCAUUCAGCGUCUUUGGCUGGCUGGAAAAGCUGAGUAGAAGUAACUGUGUGUAUAAUAACUUGCCACCAGAAAUUUGAGAAAAAGAUGACAAAGACUGUUCUAAUGAGUUUGGAAGAAGUGGGGAGUGGGGAGAAGCAAGGGUUUAUUCACUCUAGCCUUCCAUGAAGGAUACUACAGUUCAGAAUGCUGCACUACUUUUGGCAUCUGAGCUCUUUGAGAAUGAGAGGAGUACCUAGAAACAGUACUGUGAUACGGUGAAUUGUAUCUCUUUUAAAAUUUCUGUCUUGAAGAGCUAACUUCAGUACUUCAGAAUGUGACUAUUUUGGACAUAAGACCUUUUAAGAGCUGAUUAAUUUAAAGUGAGGUCCUUAGAGCAAACUCUAUCCCAUCUGAAAGGUGGCUUAUAAGAAAAGGAAACUCAAUACAGUGAUUAAAAUAGUGUGCACACAGAAGGAUGACCAUCCACAAUCCAGGAAAGAAUUAUCAGAAAGUAUCAUUCUUGCUAGGACUUGGAUCUUAGUUCUUUUUUUCCUCAUGGUUCCAGUCCUUCAGGGUCGUAAGAAAAUAUAAUGUUGUGUAAGCCACAACUCUGUGGUAUUUUGUUACGGCACCCCUAGCAAAGCAUUGCAAGUAUAUUGAACUGGAGACAGAAAAAAAGAGGAGGUGCAAAGCCAAGCAGAAAUACCAAAACAACACCCAGGAUUUGGAAGCAGAUUUAUUUAUGUUGAUGGGCACUGAUGAGGAUCAUUCCCAGAAUAUCAGGCCCUGAUCUCUGGUGGUCUAGGGCUUACGUGGGAUAAGCCAGCAGGAAGUACAGAGGUAGAAUGGCUUGUUGAUUUGGGGAUUGUUUUACACAGUGUGAAUCAUAGUGACCAGCUAUGCAUCACAGUGACCAGUGUUUCUAAGAGACACAAGCAACCAGAACUGGAAUAGAAACUGUUACCUGGGUAACUAACAAACUGAAGUAUACUGACUUGCCGAGGGCAUUUUCUGUUACAAAGAAAUUUGGAAAGGAGAACCACUGGGUGAACUCAGGGUCUUCAUGGAGUAAAUUUUUCUUGCCUUUACCCUCAAGAAGUUUUACUGAAAAGAGACUGUUAGGAGACAGGGUUAGUGUAGUAUUGAAUCUCUCCGAGAUGGCAUGUGUGAAUUUAUAUAAAGAGCAAAGCCUGAACUCUCUUUUCUUGGUUUAUGAUUUUUCCAGAGUCCAUAUUCUAAAUUAGCUAACUCUUCUGGAGGAGGGAGACUUUAAUAUUUAAACAUAAAUUACACUUAUCCUAAAGAUAAUGAAGCUCAAUAUUCAUGGCUGCCCUAGGAUCCUGGGAAGGUUCUUAGUAAGCUGUUCUCAGAGUAACAUGUUUCUUUAUAAUUUGCAAAUAGUGACAGUGGUCUCUUUAGACUCAAAUUUCCCCUCUGUUGCAUUUCUCCUUCUUUUAGGUAUAGUUGCAGUGGCCACAGCAUCCAUAUAAGCAUUUGGGUGAGCUGAUUUGGGUGUAGUCUUGGCUUAGUAAGAUGUGUGGCUCAUAUUCAUUCACAUUAACAGCAAGUUCCUGCCACAUGUUCUGGUUUAAAAAUUGCUCCAAGACUCAACUAUUUUAAAGAAAGAGACAUUAUGGUAGUCACUGUUAAUUACGGGUUGUCUUCUGGUGAAAUACUGUGUUGCUUACAUUGUUCUGUUCUGAUCUGCUUUGUUAUGUCCUGUUUUGUCUUAAUCUCUUUAAAAAAAUUGCUCCAAGAAUUGUUCUAACUUCCAAUGUACUAGAUGACUAUCUAAGGUAGUAACCAAAGUCUCACUGCAGUUUGAAUUCAUCUAAUGGCCCCACACACCAAAAGGAUAAAGGUUAAGGAGGAGAUAUAAGGUUUAAGUAUAUCAAGAUAGAUCUUAGUCAGUGGAAAUUCUUCUAAAUAUGAAGAAACUAGAUGGGGUUUCCACUUAAACCAUUAAUUUUCCACAAUUUAUAUGCUAUUUGUAGAAAGUAAUAAGAAAAUUAAUGAAAAACUAAUCAAAAUUUGUUAUUAAUAGCAAAAACCAAAUUUCAAACAACUGCAAUACAGAAGUAAGUAAAUUAUUCUGUAGAGAAAAUUCAGUGAACUUAUUAUUGUAUGAAGAGGCAACUGAAGGUUAUACAGACAAUAAAAUGUCCUUAGUGAACUCAGUGUAAUAAAAGACAGAAAUGUU